rnacentral:rRNA from 1 species
GGGUUGUGAGGUUAAGCGACUAAGCGUACACGGUGGAUGCCCUGGCAGUCAGAGGCGAUGAAGGACGUGCUAAUCUGCGAUAAGCGUCGGUAAGGUGAUAUGAACCGUUAUAACCGGCGAUUUCCGAAUGGGGAAACCCAGUGUGAUUCGUCACACUAUCAUUAACUGAAUCCAUAGGUUAAUGAGGCGAACCGGGGGAACUGAAACAUCUAAGUACCCCGAGGAAAAGAAAUCAACCGAGAUUCCCCCAGUAGCGGCGAGCGAACGGGGAGCAGCCCAGAGCCUGAAUCAGUGUGUGUGUUAGUGGAAGCGUCUGGAAAGGCGCGCGAUACAGGGUGACAGCCCCGUACACAAAAAUGCACAUGCUGUGAGCUCGAUGAGUAGGGCGGGACACGUGGUAUCCUGUCUGAAUAUGGGGGGACCAUCCUCCAAGGCUAAAUACUCCUGACUGACCGAUAGUGAACCAGUACCGUGAGGGAAAGGCGAAAAGAACCCCGGCGAGGGGAGUGAAAAAGAACCUGAAACCGUGUACGUACAAGCAGUGGGAGCACGCUUAGGCGUGUGACUGCGUACCUUUUGUAUAAUGGGUCAGCGACUUAUAUUCUGUAGCAAGGUUAACCGAAUAGGGGAGCCGAAGGGAAACCGAGUCUUAACUGGGCGUUAAGUUGCAGGGUAUAGACCCGAAACCCGGUGAUCUAGCCAUGGGCAGGUUGAAGGUUGGGUAACACUAACUGGAGGACCGAACCGACUAAUGUUGAAAAAUUAGCGGAUGACUUGUGGCUGGGGGUGAAAGGCCAAUCAAACCGGGAGAUAGCUGGUUCUCCCCGAAAGCUAUUUAGGUAGCGCCUCGUGAAUUCAUCUCCGGGGGUAGAGCACUGUUUCGGCAAGGGGGUCAUCCCGACUUACCAACCCGAUGCAAACUGCGAAUACCGGAGAAUGUUAUCACGGGAGACACACGGCGGGUGCUAACGUCCGUCGUGAAGAGGGAAACAACCCAGACCGCCAGCUAAGGUCCCAAAGUCAUGGUUAAGUGGGAAACGAUGUGGGAAGGCCCAGACAGCCAGGAUGUUGGCUUAGAAGCAGCCAUCAUUUAAAGAAAGCGUAAUAGCUCACUGGUCGAGUCGGCCUGCGCGGAAGAUGUAACGGGGCUAAACCAUGCACCGAAGCUGCGGCAGCGACGCUUAUGCGUUGUUGGGUAGGGGAGCGUUCUGUAAGCCUGCGAAGGUGUGCUGUGAGGCAUGCUGGAGGUAUCAGAAGUGCGAAUGCUGACAUAAGUAACGAUAAAGCGGGUGAAAAGCCCGCUCGCCGGAAGACCAAGGGUUCCUGUCCAACGUUAAUCGGGGCAGGGUGAGUCGACCCCUAAGGCGAGGCCGAAAGGCGUAGUCGAUGGGAAACAGGUUAAUAUUCCUGUACUUGGUGUUACUGCGAAGGGGGGACGGAGAAGGCUAUGUUGGCCGGGCGACGGUUGUCCCGGUUUAAGCGUGUAGGCUGGUUUUCCAGGCAAAUCCGGAAAAUCAAGGCUGAGGCGUGAUGACGAGGCACUACGGUGCUGAAGCAACAAAUGCCCUGCUUCCAGGAAAAGCCUCUAAGCAUCAGGUAACAUCAAAUCGUACCCCAAACCGACACAGGUGGUCAGGUAGAGAAUACCAAGGCGCUUGAGAGAACUCGGGUGAAGGAACUAGGCAAAAUGGUGCCGUAACUUCGGGAGAAGGCACGCUGAUAUGUAGGUGAAGUCCCUCGCGGAUGGAGCUGAAAUCAGUCGAAGAUACCAGCUGGCUGCAACUGUUUAUUAAAAACACAGCACUGUGCAAACACGAAAGUGGACGUAUACGGUGUGACGCCUGCCCGGUGCCGGAAGGUUAAUUGAUGGGGUUAGCGCAAGCGAAGCUCUUGAUCGAAGCCCCGGUAAACGGCGGCCGUAACUAUAACGGUCCUAAGGUAGCGAAAUUCCUUGUCGGGUAAGUUCCGACCUGCACGAAUGGCGUAAUGAUGGCCAGGCUGUCUCCACCCGAGACUCAGUGAAAUUGAACUCGCUGUGAAGAUGCAGUGUACCCGCGGCAAGACGGAAAGACCCCGUGAACCUUUACUAUAGCUUGACACUGAACAUUGAGCCUUGAUGUGUAGGAUAGGUGGGAGGCUUUGAAGUGUGGACGCCAGUCUGCAUGGAGCCGACCUUGAAAUACCACCCUUUAAUGUUUGAUGUUCUAACGUUG